UACAGAGGUCCCAAGCGUUGUUCGGAUUCACUGGGCGUAAAGGGUGCGUAGGUGGUGAGGUAAGUCGGAUGUGAAAUCUCCAGGCUCAACCUGGAAAUGGCAUCGGAAACUACCUUGCUCGAGGUUUGGAGGGGGGACUGGAAUACUUGGUGUAGCAGUGAAAUGCGUAGAUAUCAAGUGGAACACCAGUGGCGAAGGCGGCCCCCUGGACCGGUACUGACGCUGAGGCGCGAAAGCGUGGGGAGCAAACAGG
rnacentral:rRNA from 1 species